UGGGGAAUAUUGGACAAUGGGCGCAAGCCUGAUCCAGCCAUGCCGCGUGAGUGAUGAAGGCCCUAGGGUUGUAAAGCUCUUUCACCGGGGAAGAUAAUGACGGUAACCGGAGAAGAAGCUCCGGCUAACUUCGUGCCAGCAGCCGCGGUAAUACGAAGGGGGCUAGCGUUGUUCGGAUUUACUGGGCGUAAAGCGCACGUAGGCGGACUAUUAAGUCAGGGGUGAAAUCCCGGGGCUCAACCCCGGAACUGCCUUUGAUACUGGUUGUCUGGAGUACGAGGGAGGUGAGUGGAAGUCCGAGUGUAGAGGUGAAAUACGUAGAUAUUCGGAGGAACACCAGUGGCGAAGGCGGCUCACUGGCUCGAUACUGACGCUGAGGUGCGAAAGCGUGGGGAGCAAACAGG
rnacentral:rRNA from 1 species